CCUAGCCCUUCAGAGGGGGACAACAGUUGGAAACGACUGCUAAUACCGCAUACGAUCUAAACUCGGCAUCGAGGAUAGAUGAAAGGUGGCCUCUACAUGUAAGCUAUCACUGAAGGAGGGGAUUGCGUCUGAUUAGCUAGUUGGAGGGGUAACGGCCCACCAAGGCGAUGAUCAGUAGCCGGUCUGAGAGGAUGAACGGCCACAUUGGGACUGAGACACGGCCCAG
rnacentral:rRNA from 1 species